GAGCGAUACUAAAUACUACGUAGUAUAAAGUCGCUGAGCGUUAAAAAUAAAAUAUCAGACACGCAACAGCGACGGCUGCCAGCAGUGUUUUCUAUAGAAAACGAAAAUUAUUUCCUGUUUUCAGCAAUAACAACCGCGCGUGAGGUGGAAAACGAAAAUAUUGCCCUGCAGGCGGAGAUAACAGAGUUGGGGGUGUCUAACAGUCGUGGUGAAUCCGAAACGCAUUUGGCCAUUGCAUUGCAGUUUGUUUACCAUCACGUAUUAGCCACAAACCUUAUAGAGUAUGUACAUACACAUACAUACAUGUGUAUGUAUUUAUACGUAUACCCCGUAGCUUGCCCCAUGAAGUUAAAACGACGCAGUUGUAAGAGAAACCAAGACGAGGCGGAGAUACAAAGGGGCCUCAAACAAUGCGUAAAAAAGGUGAUUGAUAACAAGGUGCGCCUUACAAAUGUUCACUGUCUGCCCUCCACGAGCAAUACAGAAAUUCGUUUAGACCUCCAAUCCAUACGAAAUUCUCUGCGCUUAUCUAUUUAAAUGCUCUGAUUUGGGUAAUAGAUUUGUAUAGAUUUGUAUGUAUGUAUGUACAUUGUAGCAGAAUUUAGCGAGACUUGCAGUAUAUAAACGUACAUAAUAAUUCCCUUUUUAUUGCUUAAUAAAAAGAAGCAACUAUCUACAUAACUCUUCAUUUACCUUUAAUUUUAGCAAUUUUUGGUAAAACAUAUUACUUAUUUGUCACAGUGUCUAUAAUUAUGCUGAUACAAUUGGAGCUACAAAUAGAGGGUGAAACGUUUUUCGUGCACACAGUUGCACUUUAUGUAAACAUGUGGGCACACGCACAAGGUUGCGGAAGAAGAAAAAGAAGUGCAUUGUGCAGUCGAAAAGGAGAAGGAGCAGAGAAAGAGGGCUAAAAGGACAACCAUAGAAUGAGGGAGCAGACAAGCUUGGUGUAUUUUUGGCACACUAUCGCCCCCUGUAGCUACCUCUCUUUCUCGCAUUCGCUUAUACCAUUUCGCUGUGGUGCAUUCAACCUGCUGGUGAGAGAGACAGGUGCACUUACAGUUCCUCGCGAUCAACAGCUGUGUGAGUGAUUGCGAAUCGGGCAAUUACUUAACUGCGUUUGCGAGAUAGGGUAUCUUAAAUUAAUAUUGUUACAAAGUAUUGGAGCUGAUAGGAUUUCAUAUUUUAUUGUAUAGUUUCUGUACUCCAAAAUAUUUAUAUUUUCUAUAAGAUAACUUUCAGUUGGAGCAUACUAACUUUCGUAUAUGGUAACGUAUAAACAUGAUCGUAACUAAAUUUCGCGUAAAAAAUAUAUUAAAUGAUGAUGAUGAGCAAUUCACGUGAACAGAGAAGGAAGGCUAACACUGGACUCGGAGACAACGCAAUUUGCUGAACUUUAAUGCGUAGCAAGCCAAAUCGAAAAAUGCAGUAAACAAUGAAACAUUGCUAACGGCCCACCCUCCAUCGUCCCCAUCCCCGCCCCCUUUCCGAGAUGAUUUGUUAUUGUUGGCCUGGCUUACACGGGGUUGUUGUUGCUGCGUAGCUUGGUUGUUGCUGGAUAAGGCAGCGGCGCAUGCAACAAAUUGCGUUCUACCAACAACAGAAACAACGGCAUUCAGAGAUGAGAGACAAAGGACCAUGGGUGGAUAUUUUAAGCAAGAGUACUGUGUACUCCAAUGGCACUUCCAAAAACGUUAACUAAUUCGUUUUCUAAAAUAUUGACUAUCUAAAUAUAUCAUUUAAAGUUCAUCUAAUCCAAAUGUAAUCAAA
ensembl:ncRNA lncRNA:CR43301 long non-coding RNA:CR43301